GUAAAGCCCAGUCUUUGCCAUUCAUUUCUGUGCAAACCAGGACUGGCUGAUACUACAUAUUCCAGAUGCUCAUCUUUGGGUGAAAAAUUGCCGGGAACUUCUGCAGUCCAACUACAACAAACAGCGCUUUGAUCAACCUUUAGAGGCUUCAACCUGGCUGAAGAAUUUCAAAACUACAAAUGAGCGCUUCCUGAACCAG